rnacentral:rRNA from 1 species
ACGAACGCUGGCGGCGUGCUUAACCCAUGCAAGUCGAACGGAAAGGCCCUGCUUUUGUGGGGUGCUCGAGUGGCGAACGGGUGAGUAACACGUGAGUAACCUGCCCUUGACUUUGGGAUAACUUCAGGAAACUGGGGCUAAUACCGGAUAGGAGCUCCUGCUGCAUGGUGGGGGUUGGAAAGUUUCGGCGGUUGGGGAUGGACUCGCGGCUUAUCAGCUUGUUGGUGGGGUAGUGGCUUACCAAGGCUUGGACGGGUAGCCGGCCUGAGAGGGGGACCGGCCACAUUGGGACUGGGUUAGGGCCCGGACUCCUCCGGGGGGCAGAGGGGGGGAAAAUUGCACAAUGGGCGGAGGCCGGAUGCGGCAACGCCGGGUGCGGGAUGCCGGCCUUCGGGUUGUAAACCGCUUUCGCCUGUGACGAAGCGUGAGUGACGGUAAUGGGUAAAGAAGCACCGGCUAACUACGUG